rnacentral:rRNA from 1 species
AACGAACGCUGGCGGCAGGCCUAACACAUGCAAGUCGAGCGCCCCCGCAAGGGGGAGCGGCGGACGGGUGAGUAACGCGUGGGAAUUUUCCUCAAGGUACGGAACAACUCAGGGAAACUUGGGCUAAUACCGUAUGAUGUCUAGCGACCAAAGAUUUAUCGCCUUGGGAUAAGCCCGCGUCAGAUUAGGGAGUUGGUGGGGUAACGGCCUACCAAGCCUGCGAUCUGUAGCUGGUUUGAGAGGACGAUCAGCCACACUGGGACUGAGACACGGCCCAGACUCCUACGGGAGGCAGCAGUGGGGAAUCUUGCGCAAUGGGCGAAAGCCUGACGCAGCCAUGCCGCGUGAAUGAUGAAGGUCUUAGGAUUGUAAAGUUCUUUCGCUCGUGACGAUGAUGACGGUAACGAGAGAAGAAGCCCCGGCUAACUUCGUGCCAGCAGCCGCUGUAAUAC